GAUGAACGCUGGCGGCGUGCUUAACACAUGCCAGUCGAACGGUGAAGGCGGAGCUUGCUCUGCUGGAUCAGUGGCGAACGGGUGAGUAACACGUGAGCAAUCUGCCCCUGACUCUGGGAUAAGCGCUGGAGACGGCGUCUAAUACUGGAUACGAGCUGCGAAGGCAUCUUCAGCAGCUGGAAAGAACUUCGGUCAGGGAUGAGCUCGCGGCCUAUCAGCUUGUUGGUGAGGUAACGGCUCACCAAGGCGUCGACGGGUAGCCGGCCUGAGAGGGUGACCGGCCACACUGGGACUGAGACACGGCCCAGACUCCUACGGGAGGCAGCAGUGGGGAAUAUUGCACAAUGGGCGAAAGCCUGAUGCAGCAACGCCGCGUGAGGGACGACGGCCUUCGGGUUGUAAACCUCUUUUAGCAGGGAAGAAGCGAAAGUGACGGUACCUGCAGAAAAAGCGCCGGCUAACUACGUG
rnacentral:rRNA from 1 species